UACGGAGGGGGCUAGCGUUGUUCGGAAUUACUGGGCGUAAAGCGCGCGUAGGCGGCUUUGUAAGUCAGAGGUGAAAUCCCGGGGCUCAACUCCGGAACUGCCUUUGAAACUGCAUCGCUUGAAUGUCGGAGAGGUGAGUGGAAUUCCGAGUGUAGAGGUGAAAUUCGUAGAUAUUCGGAAGAACACCAGUGGCGAAGGCGGCUCACUGGACGACUAUUGACGCUGAGGUGCGAAAGCGUGGGGAGCAAACAGG
rnacentral:rRNA from 2 species